UUGGAGCCAGGAACUCCUCCAUUCCAAUAAUGGUUUCACAAUGUCUUCCACUGUGGCCUUGAGCAUGUCACUUUGCCUUCUGUCUCAAUUUCCCUGUCUGUAAUGCAAGGCUAGUAACACUUGCCUGCCUCUCAGGGUUAACAAGGGUUAACUAGAAAAUGUUAUAACUUACUUGGACCUUGAAAAAAGCACCAGCCUUAGAGGUCUUUGUAACAUUGAAUCAUUGACUAGUGAGAAAGAUCAUAUAAGGCUGCAGUCUGUCUGCUGGGAAGUGAGGGAGUGAAGAGAUGAGGCAAAACCAGAUACAAGGAAAUUCUUAAAGAGAAAGGAAAGACAAAAGGAUAAUCUUAGAAAAAUAAACAGGAGAAUUAUAAAUUAUUGCUAUUUUAGAAAACUCACUCAGGAAUCUACAGAGGAGGCAUUGUCAUAUAGAACUAAAUAAAGGCCUAUAAACCCAGAGAGAAAUGUGAAAGACAUUGUAGUGGGUCUGAUUUUUUUUUAAGUCAAGGGUGAGACUUGGACCUGGAGAGAGAGCAAGAGAGAGAGAGAGAGAGAGAGAGAGAGACACACACACACGUUAAUUGUGCACACCAAUGGGCAAUUGCAAGAGCAAGAUGGAUCUGCAUGUACGUGGAUUUGCUGGAUCUCAGCUUUCUGGGUUUUUAUGGACUGGGCCACUGGAAGGUACCCCACAUCACUUGACUGAGGAUGCCACUCCAAAGGAGAAGGUGGAGGGAGAUUUAUAUGCAAACAGCAUGAAAGUGCUCAAGAGCUUUCAUUUGCUGAAGAAAUGGACUUUCUUUGAUAAUAAAUAAAAAUACCUUGUCUUUACAUAGCCCCAUUAUAGUCAUACUUCUCUAUAAAUACACGAUUUGACUGUCACAAUGCAUCUCUUUCAGCCAGAUUGAAUUUUGAUGCAUCCAUGUUGAUUUAUAAUAAUGAAUUAGUCACAUUGGU